ACGAACGCUGGCGGCGUGCCUAAUACAUGCAAGUUGAGCGCUGAAGGUUGGUACUUGUACCAACUGGAUGAGCAGCGAACGGGUGAGUAACGCGUGGGGAAUCUGCCUUUGAGCGGGGGACAACAUUUGGAAACGAAUGCUAAUACCGCAUAAAAACUUUAAACACAAGUUUUAAGUUUGAAAGAUGCAAUUGCAUCACUCAAAGAUGAUCCCGCGUUGUAUUAGCUAGUUGGUGAGGUAAAGGCUCACCAAGGCGAUGAUACAUAGCCGACCUGGGAGGGUGAUCGGCCACAUUGGGACUGAGACACGGCCCAAACUCCUACGGGAGGCAGCAGUAGGGAAUCUUCGGCAAUGGACGAAAGUCUGACCGAGCAACGCCGCGUGAGUGAAGAAGGUUUUCGGAUCGUAAAACUCUGUUGGUAGAGAAGAACGUUGGUGAGAGUGGAAAGCUCAUCAAGUGACGGUAACUACCCAGAAAGGGACGGCUAACUACGUG
rnacentral:rRNA from 1 species